UACGAAGGGAGCUAGCGUUGUUCGGAAUCACUGGGCGUAAAGCGCACGUAGGCGGAUUUGUCAGUCAGGGGUGAAAUCCCGGGGCUCAACCUCGGAACUGCCUUUGAUACAGCAAGUCUUGAGUUCGAGAGAGGUGGGUGGAAUUCCUAGUGUAGAGGUGAAAUUCGUAGAUAUUAGGAAGAACACCGGUGGCGAAGGCGGCCCACUGGCUCGAUACUGACGCUGAGGUGCGAAAGCGUGGGGAGCAGACAGG
rnacentral:rRNA from 1 species